GAAUAUCUGAAAGACAAAAUUGAUGAGCAUGCAAUGAACAGAUGGUAGUAAAACUAAGGCAGUCCAGGAUGGCAUUCUUGUGCUGUUCUAAUGACGUGAUGCCACCAAGACACUUUCAAAAUCCAAGGGAUAUGCAGAUAUAACCAGCAAAGCAAAAGAAAGAUGGUAUGUGAACAGUCUUCCACAAUGUAAGAUACUGAAAAAAUUACAUAGUAUGUGAUUCAGACAGAAUGCUAAGCUAUUUUUUGUGGUAAUAAAGUUUCCUUCAAUAAUUAUUAGAAAUGAAAUGUAUUAAAAGUGAAAAAUAUACAAUAUAAAAAUGGGCCUUUACUGAGA